CAGCUCGUUGGCGGGGUAACGGCCCACCAAGGCAACGACGGGUAGCUGGUCUGAGAGGACGAUCAGCCACACUGGAACUGAGACACGGUCCAGACUCCUACGGGAGGCAGCAGUGGGGAAUUUUGCGCAAUGGGCGAAAGCCUGACGCAGCAACGCCGCGUGUGUGAUGAAGGUCUUCGGAUUGUAAAGCACUUUCGACCGGGACGAAAACCUGCUGGCUAACAUCCAGCAACUUGACGGUACCGGGAGAAGAAGCACCGGCUAACUCUGUGCCAGCAGCCGCGGUAAUACAGAGGGUGCAAGCGUUGUUCGGAAUUAUUGGGCGUAAAGCGCGUGUAGGCGGCUUUGCAAGUCGGGUGUGAAAGCCCUCGGCUCAACCGAGGAAGCGCGCCCGAAACUGCAGAGCUUGAGUACCGGAGAGGAUGGCGGAAUUCCCCAAGUAGAAGUGAAAUUCGUAGAUAUGGGGAGGAACACCGGUGGCGAAGGCGGCCAUCUGGCUCGUAUCUGACGCUCAGGCGCGACAGCGUGGGGAUCAAACAGGAUU
rnacentral:rRNA from 1 species